CGAAGACCUCUACUACAGCGAGGACGAGAUUGAGGAGGAGCUGGCGAGGCAAAGUCCCAUGGAGAUGCCUGUUCCGGAACAGGACCGAUGCAGCUUUGGGCCGCCCGUUGCCAUUUUAACUCACUGCGAGAAGGAAUGGAAAGGGCAGACCACCGAAAGCAUGGUCAUUAGAAAAGGCUACGCUGAGCUCUCCCGGGACUUUGGAUUCUUCCGCCGGGGAAGGGAAGACGACUACUGUGCCCUGCGAGCCUCCCUGUACCAGACGCU